rnacentral:lncRNA from 1 species
AAUAACAUCCCCAAGAUCCAAACUCUAAGACCUUUUGAAUUUCCCCACAUUGCUACAAACACUUACGUGGCCCCCAAGGUGCCUCUGAGGGGAUUCUCUGCAGGUCAAUCUCAUCCUUAUCCAUUUCUUAUCCAAGCCUGGAAAGCUCAGCUGCAAAUUAGUACCAAAAAGAAUAUUUGAAAUUGAAGGGAUCCUUCCUCUUUAAUUUUUAAAUGCUUAGGGCUUUCAUUCAAUGGGCACAAGAAGCCAGUCAGCUACUGCAGGUUGGCACACGACAUAGUUGCAAGCAAUCCUACUACAACCACUAAUAAUAAGAGUAGGGUCCCUGGAAUUGAAGACAGCCAAAUUUAAGAGAGAAAAAAAAAGGAGACAAUUCCCAACUUGAUGCCCUGGAAAACAGAGCAGCUUAAAACGCACCUAAGAGCUGACCCUGCUCCUCUUGCAGAAAGUCACAGAUGCAGUCUCUGCCAUGCACAGGGGUUUUAAAUCGAUCGUUGCUGCAGCCGCUGCUAGAGAAGCCCCCCUGGUGAAGAGCGAGGCACUGACUUUAAAUAGCAGCGCUCUGCUCCGAGUCCGGCUCACACUAACUGCUGCUGCUGAAGGCAUAAGGCAGUGGGAACCCAGCCCCCCACGUGACUCGGAUGGGUGCAGAACUAGGCAAGAAAAUCCAGCCGGGAGCAGGAGGAUGGGAGCGUCCCUUUCUAAACCUCUCCCGGAUCUGGGGCUCAACCACGCACACGCGGAUCCUAAGCAGCAGGAGGAACCGCCCGAGGAAGAGUUGGGGACACUUCCCGCUCCCGCAGGCUGCAGAAGCACAGGCAACUUUUGGAAACCACACACUGCAGACUCAGAAGAACUUUUAACGAGGUUGGGGAGAGUUCUUGGACAUCACCCUCAGUAUUCAGGGCGCUGAGAAAAUUAGUGUGUCUUGUCUGCUGAUAGUAAUCAGAGUAAAAGAUAAUUAAGAUGUUAUUAGCACUAUAAAGUCUUUGGUGGUUCACUGACAUCAGCAAAGCCAAAUCACACUUAACAGGGUAAUUUUUAAAGAUAUUGAUUUCUUUCUCCUCUGUGUAAUAUCUGACCUGUCUGCUUUUGGAGGAUUUUCAAUGUCCUAAUCUGCUUGUGUGUAUCAUUGUUUAACUGUUUCUUUAACUUUCCCAGACUUCAUGGAUGCUGAACCAGUCUUUCAUUAAAGAAAACAAAUCCUUUAGCACAUUUUGGGUUUUUACCCAAGGAAAGGCCAAAAUUUAAUAUGAUUGUGGUAAGGAGGCCCUCCUCAUGCAUCUUGCUGGUGCUCAACUGCCUAGUCAGAACAUCAUGAUUUAAUGGCUGAGUGUCCACCAGAACUUUAUUUUUAACUUUAUUUUCCCCUCUUUUUAUAAUAUGUAGGCCUUGUCAUCUAAAAUCAUUCCUAAGGGCCUGGUUUUUAAUGUAGAUGCCUAAAGAUGCAGAUAGGUGCUUUUGAAAAUCCCACUAGGUCCUUACCUGCGCCAUUUGGAGCCUACAUAUCUUUAAAGGCCUGACUGAGCCUCAUCAGUGAUGUUAGAGAUGGGGAAACAGAAACAGAGCAUUUUGGAGCUCAUGAAUACCUGUGCAAGGGAGUAAAGUGCAUAAAGGAACUGCCUCACUCACUUGGGUGGGCUACGUGCAUUGAAGGUUAUAUGUGGGUGGGGUGUGUGUGUGAGAGAGCAGCUCUGCAAGGCUUCUGCUUCCCCUCCUGCACAAGUAGGCUGGGCCUUGGUUCUGUCCUCUCCCCAGUACACUGGCCACCACUGCUUCCAAAAUGAGGCAGACACAGUUUACUUCUCCCACAGAACAAGGAGGAAGCAAAGACCCUAUUGUGACUGAGUCAGUUUGAUGCCUGCAUUGCACCUGGAGCAGUGCAGCUAUGGUCUCCCCCUUAUUCAGGGCAA